AAAAAAGGAAAAAAAGAGAGGAACAAGAGAUACCAAGAUCUCAAUAGCACAAGUGCGCUAUGUCAACAAUUUAAGGUACAGGGGGUUCCAAGGAGGAAAAAUGAAGAACAACCCCUUGUUCUAGAGACUAAUUCCAUUACAUAGUCACAUAAAGAUGGACAAAACUCUAGAAUUUUUUAGCAUAUCAAGACACAUGGCCUCCUAAUAUCACAAGGUAGUGAACUAUUUGGUUUAUGGUUACUUCAACAGACAUCUUCAUAACAAAAGGCAACAACAAACAUGAACGAAGAGCAUUUUCCAUGACAAAAAAAGGAAGUCAGCAAUUCAUAAAAUUCUCCAUGUUUACAUAUGCCUGGGGACUUCUUUCUUGCGUUUUAGUUAUCACACCUACCCAUUUGGGUUUGGGUUCUCAUACGUGGGUUUUCAAAAAUAUAUGUACAC
rnacentral:lncRNA from 1 species